rnacentral:rRNA from 1 species
UGGGGAAUAUUGCACAAUGGGCGAAAGCCUGAUGCAGCGACGCCGCGUGCGGGAUGAAGGCCUUCGGGUUGUAAACCGCUUUUAAUUGGGAGCAAGCGAGAGUGAGUGUACCUUUUGAAUAAGCACCGGCUAACUACGUGCCAGCAGCCGCGGUAAUACGUAGGGUGCAAGCGUUAUCCGGAAUUAUUGGGCGUAAAGAGCUCGUAGGCGGUUUGUCACGCCUGGUGUGAAAGUCCAUCGCUUAACGGUGGAUCUGCGCCGGGUACGGGCAGGCUAGAGUGCAGUAGGGGAGAUUGGAAUUCCCGGUGUAACGGUGGAAUGUGUAGAUAUCGGGAAGAACACCAAUGGCGAAGGCAGAUCUCUGGGCUGUUACUGACGCUGAGGAGCGAAAGCAUGGGGAGCGAACAGGAUUAGAUACCCUGGUAGUCCAUGCCGUAAACGGUGGAUGCCUGGAUGUGGGACCCUUCCACGGGUUCCGUGUCGGAGCUAACGCGUUAAGCAUCCCCGCCUGGGGAGUACGGCGC